rnacentral:misc_RNA from 1 species
AAUUUUAACUUCCGCUGUAAACAGUGCACAUUUGCAUGGGUUGUUUUUGGUUAUAAUGAUGUGAUUUUCAACUAUACUGAGACAGUAUGAGUGGAUCCAAGGGCGGAAACGACCCUGUUAUUUUGGCGACAGCCGGGUAUGAUCACACGAUACGGUUCUGGCAGGCCCACACAGGGAUAUGUUACAGGACCGUCCAACACCCGGACUCUCAGGUGAAUGCUUUGGAGAUCACCCCUGAUAAGCAGAUGAUAGCAGCUGCAGGGUAUCAGCACAUCCGUAUGUAUGACUUGAAUUCCGACAACCCCAACCCUGUGGUAAAUUAUGAUGGAAUCCAGAAAAAUGUGACCAGUGUUGGUUUCCAUGAGGAGGGAAAAUGGAUGUUCACUGGGGGAGAGGACAACACAGUGAGAAUCUGGGACCUAAGAACAAGGAGUUUGCAAUGCCAAAGAAUAUUCCAAGCUAAUGCCCCUGUAAACUGUGUAUGUUUACAUCCAAAUCAGGGAGAAAUAUUUGUUGGUGAUCAAAAUGGAAAAAUCCACAUAUGGGACCUAAAGAAAGACAGCAGUGAACAUUUGACCCCAGAGAAAGAUACCUCCAUUCAGUCCAUCAGCAUUGACCCGAUGGGAACGAUGAUGUCUGCCAUCAACAACAAGGGAACUUGUUAUAUAUGGACUCUCUCCGGAGGCCGUGGAACAGAUCCUGUUAAAGUCCACUUGAAAAAGACCUUUGAGGCACAUUCCAAAUAUGGCAUUAAAUGUCUGUUCAGUCCAGACUCCACGUAUGCGUUUUAUUAUUAUAGUUCAUCCAUGCAUGAAGCUGAUCUAUUUUUAGGUCAUCUUGUCUUUUUAGAAAUUUUAUGUAUUGCAUACUUUUUUACAUCAUUUGCACAUUUGUAUCCAACAGAAAAGUAAAAUGGUCAUUCAUUCUUAGCUAUUAACAGUUUUAAAGUUUAUAAAUAGACACAUGUUAUAAAGAGCAUGAGCAAUGUUUUCUUUUCAGAUUGAAUUUCACAUGAUUAUAAAUCACUUUAUCAACAUUUUUGCUCUGUACUUAUCCUAGAAGUUCAUUGUUAGAGAUAAUGAUUGAAAAUCAACAUCAAUGUGUCAGUGUUGUCUCAUGUAAAGACACCAUAAAUGCAUAGACAUUCCACAGAAAAUAUCACAUUUAAGGUAAAAAUAUCCCAAAGUUAUAAAUGGGGAUGACCUUCUUUAAGGUCGCUGGUUUCGGAUCUGAAUCAUUUCUGAUUGGUUGAUUUGUAGGUUAUUGGCCACCACAUCCGCCGACCAGACCUGUAAAAUCUGGCGGACAGCCGACCACACGCUGAUGACAGAACUGAAGGAGAACACACAGAGAUGGGUGUGGGACUGUGCCUUCAGUGGGGACUCCCAGUACAUCAUUACAGCUUCAUCAGAUAACAUGGCCCGCCUGUGGUCUGUCGAGACAGGGGAUGUGAAGAAAGAGUACAGUGGUCAUCAAAAGGCGGUGGUCUGCCUGGCCUUUAGGGACGAGUUUGUGCAAUGAUGGCCAAUAACGGGCUAACUGGACUCUAAUAUAUACCGCUUGUCUGACAUGAUUCGGGUGUUCGCCAGUACUGUGGAUCCUUGGCCUCCUUGUUGUUGAAUGCUUGUUGGAAGAAUUUUGUUGCGAGAAAGUUUUUGUAUGGUCUUUUGUUAAAUCUUGCUAAUAAAAAUGAUAGAGUG